rnacentral:rRNA from 1 species
AGAUUGAACGCUGGCGGCAUGCCUAACACAUGCAAGUCGAACGGGAGUAGCAAUACUCUGGUGGCGGACGGGUGAGGAAUACGUAGGAAUUUGCCCUUAAGUGGGGGAUAACCCGGGGAAACCCGGAUUAAUACCGCAUGACCUCGAAAGAGCAAAGUGGGGGAUCGCAAGACCUCACGCUUUUGGAGAAGCCUACGUCGGAUUAGCUAGUUGGUGAGGUAAUGGCCUCACCAAGGCGACGAUCCGUAACUAGGUCUGAGAGGAAGUGAUA